CGGCGUGCCUAAUACAUGCAAGUCGAGCGCGGGAAGCGAGUGGAUCCCUUCGGGGUGAAGCUCGUGGAACGAGCGGCGGACGGGUGAGUAACACGUGGGCAACCUGCCUGUAAGAUCGGAAUAACCCCGGGAAACCGGGGCUAAUGCCGGGUAAUACUUUCUUUCGCAUGAAGGAAAGUUGAAAGAUGGCUUCUUGCUAUCACUUACAGAUGGGCCCGCGGCGCAUUAGCUAGUUGGUGAGGUAACGGCUCACCAAGGCGACGAUGCGUAGCCGACCUGAGAGGGUGAUCGGCCACACUGGGACUGAGACACGGCCCAGACUCCUACGGGAGGCAGCAGUAGGGAAUCUUCCGCAAUGGACGAAAGUCUGACGGAGCAACGCCGCGUGAACGAUGAAGGUCUUCGGAUCGUAAAGUUCUGUUGUUAGGGAAGAACAAGUACCGUGCGAAUAGAGCGGUACCUUGACGGUACCUAACGAGGAAGCCCCGGCUAACUACGUGCCAGCAGCCGCGGUAAUACGUANGGGGCAAGCGUUGUCCGGAAUUAUUGGGCGUAAAGCGCGCGCAGGCGGUUCCUUAAGUCUGAUGUGAAAGCCCACGGCUCAACCGUGGAGGGUCAUUGGAAACUGGGGAACUUGAGGACAGAAGAGGAGAGUGGAAUUCCACGUGUAGCGGUGAAAUGCGUAGAUAUGUGGAGGAACACCAGUGGCGAA
rnacentral:rRNA from 1 species